rnacentral:lncRNA from 1 species
AUGAAGAAUAAGAAGCGUGCUAGUACAAAAGACGAUAUAACCAUGGAUAAGGAAUGUUCCUAUAUAUACAGGAACUAUUACAAAUACAUAAGAAAUGGUAAAUCAGAAUUACCUAGACUAUCGCUUGACCUUUUCCCUUCUAUUAAUACCUACACUUCUAUACCCAAAUUAAAUGCCAUAGACUCGAUUAAAUUUCAUCCUUGUAUUUCUAGAUCGGAUUAUUUUAAUAGUAAUAAUUCUUAUAAGCCACUAUUUACGCACCACUUUUUUACCGAUAGUGAACAGAUAUUAGGAUUCGACUCACUAAAAAUUGAUUUUUAUUACACAUGUGACACAUAUGAUGUGUUUAUGAAAAUAAGAGGAAAAAUAAUUGAUCAAUAUGAAAAUGCUAAUUAUGUCAUGCUAAUGCUUUUGCAGAAUUUGUAUUUGACUACACCUUAUCCUAGUGGUUUUAUUGAAACAGAGAAGAAAUUUUUAAAAAUCCUCGAAAGUAAUGAAAAGAAAAAGCAAUUGUUAAAACAUGGUAUAAAUGGGAUAAGUAGUAGGAAUAGAAAAAGUAAUGACAGUUUUAACACUUUGAAUAAAUUAUACAAACCUCCUGGUUUUAUUAUAUAUGAAAAAAAAAUCAGUGAAGAUAUGUAUUUACAAAUAAGAAAGUGUGGUUUUUCAUCUGAAUAUUUUAAAAACAAUAAUGACAGUAAUGAAGAGGAGAUGAAUGAAAGUGAUAGAAGUUCAUUAGAAGUAACAGAAGAAUCGGGAGAAGAUGAAAUCAUAAAUGGUGACGUAAAUGGAGACGUAAAUGGAGAUGUAAGUGGUGACGCAAAUGGUGACGUAAAUGGAGUUGUAAAUGGAGUUGUAAAUGGAGUUGUAAACGAAAAUGGAAACGAAGAAAUAUCAAGUAAUGUAAUUUGUAAUAAAAUUAAAAAUCUGAAUAAAACAAAAAAUAAGAAAGGUACGAUAAAAAAAGGAGAUUGAUACAAAGGAAAAAAAUAUAAAUAAUCGUUUUAAAAAGAAAGUUGGUCAUGUUAUAGAUACUGAUUGUGUUAGUGGUAAUAUUAGUAAUGGAACUAAUAAUAGUAAUUCUGUCUUACAUACUAGUACAAACAUUUUAUAUGAAUGUGAUAAGAGAAGAAGUAAUAGAAAAGGAGUUAUUAAGGCCAUUAAUAAGAAUAAUGGUAUUUGUAAAGAUAAAGUAACAAAGAAAAAAAACGAAAAUCUAGGAAUGGUAAAAAAAGUUGAAACUAGAGGAAGAAAAAAAAAAAAGCGAAACUAUAGGAAUAAAAAAAAAAAUAGAAUCUAGAAGAGGGAGAAA